GAGAGCAGAGGACGAACUCGGGAUAUGACAAGAUGGCCAGGCUGCCCCGCAGGAUUAUUAAGGAAACCCAGCAUUUGCUGGCAGAACCAGUUCUGUCAUUAAAGCAGAACCAGAUGAAAGCAACGCCCAAUAUUUUCAUGUGGUCAUUGCUGGGCCCCAGGAUUCCCCCUUUGACGGAGGGACUUUUAAACUUGAACUAUUCCUUCCAGAAGAACACCCAAUGGCAGCUCCUAAAGUAUGUUUCAUGACCAAAAUUUAUAACCCUAAUGUAGACAAGUUGGGAAGAAUAUGUUUAGAUAUUUUAAAAGAUAAGUGGUCCCCAGCACUGCAGAUCCACACAGUUCUGCUAUCCAUACAGGCUUUGUUAAGUGCUUCCAAUCCAGAUGAUCCAUUAGCAAAUGAUGUAGCGGGAGCAGUGGAAGACCAAUGAAGCCCAAGCCAUAGAAACAGCUAGAGCAUGGACUAGGCUACAUGCCAUGAAUAAUAUUUAAAUCAAUUUGAUCAUCAAGUGUGCAUCCCUUCUCCUGUUCUGCCAAGACUUCUUCUUUUUUUGUUUGCAUUUAAAUGGACACAGUCUUAGAAACAUUACAGAAUAAAAGCCCAGACAUGUUCAGUCCUUUGGUGAUUAA